CAGCCACCCAAGUAUCAGGUCUAGGAUCUGGAAUCUCCUGAGAAGAGGUUGGUACAAGUCUCUCUCAGAUCUGGAGUUGAUCUGAGGUCGUUUGAGGUAUGGGUGAGAUCUCCAUCAACAGAUCUACAAGAAAGACUACAGCAUGAUAGAUCUGCAAGGUCUGUCUCCAUCUACCUUCUUCCCUAUCUAGAAUACCCUGAUUUGAGAUCUACAAAUUGAAAGACCUCAGUCCAGGU
rnacentral:lncRNA from 1 species